rnacentral:rRNA from 1 species
GUGUCAGCCGCCGCGGUAAUACGUAGGUGGCAAGCGUUGUCCGGAUUUACUGGGCGUAAAGAGCGCGCAGGCGGUCGUGCAAGUCGAGUGUGAAAGCCCCCGGCUCAACUGGGGAGGGUCACUCGAUACUGCUCGACUUGAAGGCGGAAGAGGGAAGCAGAACUCCCGGUGUAGUGGUGAAAUGCGUAGAUAUCGGGAAGAAUACCAGUGGCGAAGGCGGCUUCCUGGUCCGUUCUUGACGCUGAGGCGCGAAAGCUAGGGGAGCGAACGGGAUUAGAUACCCCUGUAGUCC